UACGUAGGGUGCAAGCGUUGUCCGGAAUUAUUGGGCGUAAAGAGCUCGUAGGCGGUCUGUCGCGUCUGCUGUGAAAACUCAGGGCUUAACCCUGAGCUUGCAGUGGGUACGGGCAGACUAGAGUGCGGUAGGGGAGACUGGAAUUCCUGGUGUAGCGGUGAAAUGCGCAGAUAUCAGGAGGAACACCGGGGGCGAAGGCGGGUCUCUGGGCCGUAACUGACGCUGAGGAGCGAAAGCAUGGGGAGCGAACAGG
rnacentral:rRNA from 1 species